rnacentral:tRNA from 1 species
GCCCGAGUGGCGGAAUGGCAGACGCGGCGGUCUCAAAAACCGCUAUCUUCACAGAUGUACGAGUUCGAAUCUCGUCUCGGGCA